GAGCAAGGCCAACAACACCAAGGCGUCGAGCCAGCUGUCGGACGAGCGGGGCGAGCAUGAGGGAGAAGUCGACGUCGCCUCCCCCAACCGUCGCACCGGAAGAGCAGGAGUCCUUUAGGAUGCCAACAAAUUAUCUCUAGUUGCUAUUUUCUGGUUAGGUUGCCUGGUCCUAGAUGAUAGGCAAAGAGGUGGAAAUGCCAAGAAAUCGAUGUUAGCCGCAAACAAUGAGGACGCCUACAGGUGGGCUGAGGAGUUUUGUACAGGUUGCUACUGAAUUGCUUUGGAAUCAAUUGCAAUAUUGCAUCCGUAUGCUUCCACAUGAUUAAUGAUGUGGCCGCAGGAGAGGUCGAUUUUCUGUUCAUGGUGGAAGGGCUGCUUGAAUCAGAUGCCUAUGGAAAAUGGUUCCAAGUGUAAAAUGAAAUUCUUGAGUGACAGACUGAUGUUGCCUCAGAAAAAGAUGAGGAUAUCGAGCCAAGGUGUACCGCCCGCUCAUUUGCUUAUAAGGUAUUUCCUGGCCAUCAUUUGCUUAUAAGAGUCAGGGCGCAGUCACAGAAAGCUCCGGAAGCUUAGGCUCAGCAAGAUGUACAGAUCAAGAAGAAGACCUAAAUCAGAAGCACGUAUGGUAUCUGAAAUGGUUUACACAUAUCUUCUUAUACUCAAGUUACAAUGUACAAUCAAAACUAGAUACCAUACAGAAGGGGUCCAGCCCAACAAAAUACUCUACAUUCCCUUUUAGUUCGUCCACAUAAGAGCCCAAUCAGUACCAAGAUAGAAAUAUACAUAAUAUUUUGGUCUUUGUUUUUGAUUUGAUUUAAACAAAUUAAGUUCAGAAUUGUUUUUGAUUUGAUAUAAAGAAAUUAGCUUCUUUCAUAGCUCGUCAGCUUCAAUGAUUUGAAACUCUGCAUAUGCCAAACUCUCUUCCUGAUCUUUAAUUGUCACUUUCUGUUUUUUAAAUCUUAUUGUCGCCUCUAUUGCAGUCACGUCAGCAUGUAGCAUAAGUAAAUAGUGAUAUCAAACUUCAUUGAAUCUUACAUGUUCGAUCCAUCAUAUUUAGAAUUGCAUUUCUGAAUUUUGCAUGCUCUGCUUUUUACCAUCAGAUUUUAUAACUGACAGUUGUUUAAUCCAGAUAAACCAAUAGAUGAGUUUGUUCUAUUAAAUUUCUUGUGCAUUCUAUUUUGAUGACAAAAUUACAAGAAGUUUAUUCCUAAAAUCUAAAUUAUAGUGUGUUAUUAUAACUGUUGAUGGUUAUUUCCCUCGCGGUAAAAGUUUUCACCAGCUUCUUUAUUCAAUGAAACAUGGCCAUGUGAGAGGACGAGUUCAAUACUUCAACAGCCACUAGCUAUUUGAUAAAACCUGAUGGAAGGGAAGCACAUGGAGGCCUCAGGCUGUUGCAAUGCUACAUGACAACUACUGGAGUUCAUCGCCAAUGAGGCAGAAUCUUCAGGGCACGCUUGGAGUCUGGAGAUACGCCACCAUUGGUGAUUCUUUCCAUUGAUAGAUGAGGACCGGAUCUUUAGCCUUACCAGGAUUUUUGCUUGCCAUGUUAUAGCUACUCCUCAAGAUCGAGCUUGGGCUGUGAUACAGAAGAAUUGCGCAAAGUUCAUGAAGAAUUAUCCCUUUGAACUGUUGUGCAAAAAAAAAGCACAUAAUAUGGUUAAUUCUGUUGAUGCAGAACCUGAAACAUCAGCAGUUCAUUACUUUUGUUGACAAGCUUGUCCUAAACAUCAGCUUCGAUGAAGUGAUUUUAGCACUUGUUUCUUCCUUCUCUAGAGCACGAGUUGCUGCAGAGAUGGUGUCACUUGGAAGUGGAAGGGGAAGUGCAUAUUUAGCAUAUUCUUGCCUUUUCUGGUUCAGUACAUGAAAACUUGAGUUCAGCGUUGUGAGCUUGUUGUUUGACACAUUGCUAGAAGGAGAUGCGCAAGAUUAGUGACUGGGCAUUAUUCAGUUCUUGCACCUCUGAUAGUGAGAUUGAGAAAAUUCAAGACCAUUAUCUGCGUGCGCUUGUGGCUUUGUUAUUUACUGCUUACACUGAGGAAUCUGUUUUGAGAGAAUCUGAGGCACAUGUAUCUUUUUGAAAAGCUACUGAGGGAAUGUUGUCUCAAAUUAUAAUUAAUUUAGUAGCUUCAGAUGGAA